UUUUUUUUUUUCUUUUUACCCUCUUUAUGCUCCUCAACUUCGUUUUAUAACUAAGUUUGGAGUUCUAUAAUUUGUGAAGUUUCUAGUCCACGAGCUAAAUGUAGCAUUCCAUCCUCCAGUUUCUCCCGUUUUAGGAUUUUAUUGAUACUUUACAUGCUUCUCUCGGAAACCAAUUUCAUUACCACAAUUCUGUAAGUAUACAUAAUGAAAACUAAUUACCG
rnacentral:misc_RNA from 1 species